ensembl:snRNA U1 U1 spliceosomal RNA
AUAAAAACUAGUCUGUACAAUCACCAAGGCGAUUUCCCCAGGGCAAGGCUUGUCCCUGGCACUCUGGAUAUGUGGACCCUUGCUAUUUCCCCAAAUGUGGGAAAGUUGACUGCAUAAUUUGUGGUGAUGGGGGAGGUCUGCAUGCUCUGC